rnacentral:rRNA from 1 species
CAAAGCUGAAACUUAAAGGAAUUGACGGAAGGGCACCACCAGGAGUGGAGCCUGCGGCUUAAUUUGACUCAACACGGGAAAACUUACCUGGCCCGGACACUGGAAGGAUUGACAGAUUAAGAGCUCUUUCUUGAUUCAGUGGGUGGUGGUGCAUGGCCGUUCUUAGUUGGUGGAGCGAUUUGUCUGGUUAAUUCCGAUAACGAACGAGACUCUAGCCUACUAAAUAGGGGACCGAUCAAUUGUUGUCGGUCCGUCUUCUUAGAGGGACAAGCGGCUUUUAGCCGCACGAGACAGAGCAAUAACAGGUCUGUGAUGCCCUUAGAUGUCCGGGGCCGCACGCGCGCUACACUGAAGGAAGCAGCGUGCUCAUCGCUGUCCGGCAGGACUGCGUAACCCCUAUAACCUCCUUCGUGAUAGGGAUAGGGGCUUGUAAUUGUUCCCCUUGAACGAGGAAUUCCCAGUAAGCGCGAGUCAUAAGCUCGUGUUGAUUACGUCCCUGCCCUUUGUACACACCGCCCGUCGCUACUACCGAUUGAAUGAUUUAGUGAGGUCUUCGGACUGGCGCUCGGAGCGACCUUCGGGUUGCGCCGGCGUGCCGGAAAGAUGACCAAACUUGAUCAUUUAGAGGAAGUAAAAGUCGUAACAAGGUUUCC